rnacentral:rRNA from 2 species
UACGUAGGGUGCGAGCGUUGUCCGGAAUUAUUGGGCGUAAAGAGCUCGUAGGCGGCCUGUCGCGUCGGAUGUGAAAGCCCGGGGCUUAACCCCGGGUCUGCAUUCGAUACGGGCAGGCUAGAGUUCGGUAGGGGAGAUCGGAAUUCCUGGUGUAGCGGUGAAAUGCGCAGAUAUCAGGAGGAACACCGGUGGCGAAGGCGGAUCUCUGGGCCGAUACUGACGCUGAGGAGCGAAAGCGUGGGGAGCGAACAGG